GAAAACCUGGGGCCCAUGAAGCU
rnacentral:rRNA from 1 species